rnacentral:rRNA from 1 species
AGGGUUUGAUUCUGCUCAGGAUGAACGCUAGCGACAGGCUUAACACAUGCAAGUCGAGGGGCAGCACAGGUAGCAAUACCGGGUGGCGACCGGCGCACGGGUGAGUAACACGUAUCCAACCUUCCGUUUACUCAGGGAUAGCCUUUCGAAAGAAAGAUUAAUACCUGAUAGUAUGGUGAGAUUGCAUGAUAACACCAUUAAAGAUUUAUUGGUAAACGAUGGGGAUGCGUUCCAUUAGGUAGUAGGCGGGGUAACGGCCCACCUAGCCUGCGAUGGAUAGGGGUUCUGAGAGGAAGGUCCCCCACAUUGGAACUGAGACACGGUCCAA